UAUAGAUUAAAACUAUGGUUUUAUAUUUCAUUGAUAUACAUUGCAUUUUUUUUAAAACGGAAGCGUGAUUCCAAAACGGAAUCGUAAGCUUCCAACAAGUUCUUAAAGAGAAUAUUUUAGAAACGUUUUGGAAGCGAGAUUCUGCAAGCUUCCACAAGGUUCCGAUUCCGAUUCCGGUUCCGAAGCAGGAAGCGGACGUCCGAUGAAGCUUCCGUGCAACGUACGAGUAUAUACAAUUGUUAAUUAUCUCUAUUAUUAAAAAGGAAUGUGCAUAUUCUGUUUUGCGUAACAAUCAAAACUACCAAAAGAUUGUGAUUUAUCCUAUUAAACCUAUCAUUCACAUUGCCAACUAUAUAUAUCUCCUCUGUCCUACGUGAAAAACAUAUCACCGCAAUCCACCAAGAAAGUAAACAUAUCUAAGCUUACAACUUUUUCCCCUCUCACCAAACUAAGACCUUUCAAAGACAACUGGCGAGUUCGAGUGAAGCGUUUGCAUUCAUGGAAGCAAACGACAACCUAUGGAGGGGAUACCUUCGAGAUGAUUUUUGCUGAUGAAUGGGUAACGUUUUGGUGACAUUUUGUUCCAAUCUUUACACUUCAUUCUAAGCUGAACUUUUUUUUUAUUAGGGUAACAAGAUCCAGGCUACUUGCAAACGAACUCUCAUGUACCGAGUUCAACGUGAUUUGCUGAAAGGGGAAUGGGGAGUUAUUGAAAAAUGUCACCAACAUCCAGCUGGUGGUCAAUAUCGAGCUACAGAUCAUCCUUACAAGAUGACGAUAGCAGAGGACGCCAUCCUAUCCGGUUCGAAUUUUAGUGAUGAUAGAAUGUUUCUGAAUCUUGCCAGUUAUGAACAAAUUGAAAAUGGAACUCUAAAGGCACCUUUCCUCAUAGGAAAUCUCUAAUUUGAUUGUAUAUAUAUAUUUUGUACUGUUUUGGUUAAUUUACGAUAUAAGAAACAUAAACUAUGUUUUAUGCAUUUUCUGGCAGAUGUAAUAGGGAGAGUCCAUGAACUUGGUGAUGUUCAAACCGUCCAGGUGUCAGGAGAAAACAGAAAAAGAGUUCUAUUUCGCUUGGUUGACGCCGAAGGAAACAAUAUUGCAUGUUGUCUUUGGGGAACUUAGGCUGAGCAACUAGAACCUUUUACUGAGAACACCAAAGAUCAAACAAUUGUUUGUUUGAUAAGAUUUGCUAAAAUCAGCUACUUUAGAGGAGAGUUACAAAUCACCAAUGCUUUUGAUGCGUCCCUCAUGUACCUCAAUCCAGUGAUUCCUGAAAUUGCAGAUUUAACACAAAGGUUUCAUAUUAUUUUAAUAUUUAAUAUUUUAGAUUUUAGAUGCGUGUAUUGUUGAUGAAAGUCUUAAGCGUUAUUUGAUUAUUAUCUUAAUGGAUUGUAGGCUGUCAGAUGAUCAUCAAUCUCUUGCUGUGGUAUACAAACAGAAAGGAAAGGAGUCUAAAAGAAUUGUGUAUAACUAGGAUGAUGCUGAGAUCAAAUCUAUUUCAGAAGUUAACGAGGCCAAUCAGGUACUCACUUAUAAGUUUACUUACUAUUUUGUAACCGUAAAUUACAUGUUUGUAUUUUAUAAAAAAAUAUAGGUGGAGAUUUGCAAAGUCAUAUGUACUAUUGAAGCAAUAGAUACAGAUUGGACAUGGUUUUACUUCGGCUGCAACCGUCACAACAAACGUGUCACUAAGCUUCCUAAUGUUGAUUAUGGUAGGAUGACAAAAAUUGAUAAACCAUUGUUUCGUUGUGAAGGUUGUCAAAAUAGUAUCACUAACGUGUCGCCCAAGUAAGUGAUUUUUAACUGUUUUACGAGUUGAAUCAUAUUAUAGCUUUAUCAUCUUAUGUUUGUGACAAUAUUAUUUUGGGUUUUCUCAUUAGAUUCAAACUACAUUUGAUUGUCAAAGACUACACCUCAACCUGUAAGCUAAUGUUGCUGGGCUCUAUUGCUAAGUCCAUCAUUGGAGUUCCUGCUGUUGACCUAUGGGAUGGCUCCUAUGAGGAGGUAUUAUCUUAAAAAUAAUUCUGUUUUAAUCACUUACUUAACACAUUGAUCCCUUAUUGUUUUAUUUGUAAUUAUUGGUAGAUUGAAGAUCCAGAGAUACUACCAUCAGCUAUAAAAAAAUUCACGAUCUAUUUUUUUCUGAGGAAAUCAAAAGUCUCUGUUUUCACUUGGAAACGUAAACAAAAAAAAUCUGUUUGUUCCCGGAAAAAAGUGUAACAGAACCCUAAUGGACAUUUAAUAAAUCAUGAUUUUUUAAGCCCAAAUCAUUAUUGUUAUUAACAGCCCUCAUUUCAUCACGAUAUUGGGCUUCCCAAAUUAUACCCUUUUUUUUUCAUUUGGUUCUUUCUGAUUUGUUUUUUUUGGUUUACAAAAUAAUCAUCACAACUUUUGCAUUUAGAAAAUGAAUUUAAAACUAACAAUGAUUCUUAAAUUCUGUAAAAAAACAUUUAAUUAAGUAGAUUAAUAUAGAUUUUGUUACCGUAAAAUUUGUAAAUCUUUUGCAUAAUAAAAUUUAGUAUAUGAAAACAUUUCAAUAUAACUUAUAGAGUAUGAAGAACAAAUGAUAUACUAAGCCUAUUAUAAACACAAAAUAAUAUGAUCACCAUAUAAACUGAAAAACAUAUAAACAAUACAUAUUAUAAUAUGGAACUCAUAUUAUGUUUAAACAUGUGAAAUUAUCUAACACUUGAAUGAUCCGUAAACAAAACAUUCAGAAAAAUAUAUCACCCGCGCGGGCGCGCGGGUCAAAAGCUAGUCUACUUUAUUAAAACAGAAGUACACAUAUAGAUUAGGGAGAAUUGGAAAAAUGGGACACUUUGAACUUUUAUCUGUCAUAAUAAGACUUUUCAUAUUUUUACUAAUUUUGGACAUGUUUUACCCUUCUUUAAUAGGAAAAAUAGUAAAUUGAAUUUUAAAAAUGUAAAAAAAUAUGAAAACUGUUGGAAACAUAAGUAUGACAAUAUAUAUGUUUAAACUUUUUUUUUAAAAAAAUUGGAAUCAUAUCUUAUUUUAUCUUCUAGGUACAGUUAGAAAACUCAUUCUGGUAAUCUACCUAGUUUAUAUGUCCGAUUCUAAGUUUUAAACAUAGAUAUAUCAAGGUUAUAUACCGUAAACUAACAUUUCUUGUAUAUUCUAGCACAAGUAGAAUCUAUUACGUUAUAAUCAAGACAUAUGUCUUCGGUCUGCCUACAGUUUGAUAACGAUAUAUAGCCACAAUUCAAUGAUAUAGGUUGGUUAUACUACGUGACAUAACUUGUUCUGCCUUUUACCUUAUAUGAUGCCUACAGGAAGAAUACAUCUCUCACCUCCUAUACGGUGUUCUGGUUAGAUAGUGUACAUAUUCUAUGCAAAUCGUGAAAAUAUGGAAAUUUCCAUAUUCGGUUUAAGAAGUUUCCUAAAUUUCCUAAAUCUUUGAUAUGUAUACUAGUUUAUAUACUAUCAAAUAUAAUAAAAAUCUUAAAAUUAAUCAUUGAUUAAUCCUUGAUUAAUCCAUGAUUAAUUUCUGGGUUAUUGUAUAUAUUGAAUUUUCAUAUAACAUGGUCAAAA